GACGAACGCUGGCGGCGUGCUUAACACAUGCAAGUCGAACGGUAAGGCCCUUCGGGGUACACGAGUGGCGAACGGGUGAGUAACACGUGGGUGAUCUGCCCUGCACUUCGGGAUAAGCCUGGGAAACUGGGUCUAAUACCGGAUAGGACCACUGCCUGCAUGGGUGGAGGUGGAAAGCUUUUGAGGUGUGGGAUGGGCCCGCGGCCUAUCAGCUUGUUGGUGGGGUAAUGGCCUACCAAGGCGACGACGGGUAGCCGGCCUGAGAGGGUGACCGGCCACACUGGGACUGAGAUACGGCCCAGACUCCUACGGGAGGCAGCAGUGGGGAAUAUUGCACAAUGGGCGCAAGCCUGAUGCAGCGACGCCGCGUGAGGGAUGACGGCCUUCGGGUUGUAAACCUCUUUCAGUAGGGACGAAGCGCAAGUGACGGUACCUACAGAAGAAGGACCGGCCAACUACGUGCCAGCCGCCGCAGUAA
rnacentral:rRNA from 1 species